rnacentral:lncRNA from 1 species
CAUCGUGCGCACGUGCUCACCGGGCUGGCGAUAAUACAGUGCUCGUCAUUUGUGACGCAUUCGUUGGAACCAGGCAUGUAGUAUUUCCCGUUGAUGCA